rnacentral:tRNA from 1 species
GGAGGCAUAGCUCAGCUGGGAGAGCGCUACCCUUACAAGGUAGAUGUCAUAGGUUCGAGCCCUAUUGCCUCCACCA